UGUACGAUUCUGCUGUUCAUUAUGAACGUCAUUCAGGUCAGAGUGAGCAGUUUAAAGGACGAGUCUCAUAUUUUCAAAAUGAACUGAAGCACGGAAACGCCUCCAUCUUCAUCAGGAAGACGAAGGUGAUCGACAGUGGAAGUUACACCUGCUAUUUUCCAAAGCUACAGCCUGAUGAAAAAUUCUGCAUUGAGCUCGUUGUUGAUCCUAUCUUAACUGUCAGAACCAUCCCAGGUGCUUCACCAAAACCCUCGGUCACAAUUCUUGAGGAAACAAAGGACUGGUCU